rnacentral:pre_miRNA from 1 species
AGUGAAAUUGCUGGGUCAUAUGGUAACUCUAGGUUCAAUUCUUUAAGGAACUGCCAGAUUGUUUUCAGAGUGGCUAAACCAUUUUACAUUCCCACCAGCAUU